UACAGAGGGUGCAAACGUUGCUCGGAGUUACUGGGCGUAAAGCGCGUGUAGGCGGUGCCGCACGUCCGAUGUGAAAGCCCGGGGCUCAACCCCGGAAGUGCAUUGGAUACGGCGGCGCUGGAGGCCUGAAGAGGAGGGCGGAAUUCCCGGUGUAGAGGUGAAAUGCGUAGAUAUCGGGAGGAACAUCAGUGGCGAAGGCGGCCAUCUGGACUAAAACUGACACUGAGACACGAAAGCGUGGGGAGCAAACAGG
rnacentral:rRNA from 1 species